GCGGACUUCGCGGGCGGCGGGUUGACGGGGGCGUUCGCGAUCUGCCUGGCGAUCAUCGCGCGCGAGAAGACGGGCCGCGGCCAGAACGUGGACAUCGGCAUGAGCGACGGCGUGCUCUCGCUGAUGACCAGCGCGUUCAGCGGGUUCUUCGGAAACGGCCAGCCGAUCCGGCCGGGCGCGAUGCUCCUCAACGGCGCGUCUCCGUUUUACAACACCUACGAGUGCUCGGACGGGCGCUGGUUCAGCAUCGGGAGCAUCGAAGGGCACUUCUGGGAAGCGCUCUGCAAAGUAAUCGGCACCGAAGACCUGCUACCAAAACAGUUCGCGCAGGACGAGUGGCCCGCGAUGAUCGAACGGUUCAAGCCGAUCUUCAAGCAGAAGACGGCAGACGAAUGGAUGGCGAUCAUGUCGCAGUACGACAUCUGCGCCGCGCCCGUACUUGAGAUGGAGAACGUGGUCACAAACGAGCACAAUCUCGCCCGCAACAUGGUUGUCGAAGUCGACUCGCCAAUCGGCAAGGUGAAGCAGACCGGCGUCGGGCCGAAGCUGAGCGACACCCCGGGCAAGC
rnacentral:misc_RNA from 1 species